UUUAAUAAAUCCAGCUUGCUCACAAAGCGAGCAGAACCUAAAUUAUCUAUACAAUCCUCCAUGCGAGGCAGUGGGUAACAGUCAGGCACUGUAACAGCAUUUACCUUUCGGUAAUCAGUACAGAACCUAAAUGUUCCAUCAGGUUUAGGUACUAACAAGCAUGGGGAACUCCAAGCACUGCAGCUCGGUUUAGCAAGACCAUUUUCUAAUGCAUGAGAUGUGACGGCAAAUCUUUCAAUAUUACAGAGUUUGAUAAACGUGCGCAUUGAUGAGGAGCGUUGCGCAGCACAAUGCCAUCCUCAUCAGCUCCAUCCGCAGCUGCAGAGGAUUCUACAGGGGAGACUACGGCUACUGGAGAAACGACAGGCUUUGUCAUGUUUUCUGUAACCGAGUCCUUUGUAUUUCUUUCAUGAUAUGCCUUUAACAUAUUAACAUGACACAAACGAGAUUGGCGUUUUCGGUCAGGAGUGCAUAUAACAUAAUUAGUGUCACUGAUUUUCUUUAAUACUUCGUAGGGACCAGUAAAGCGUGCUGACAAAGCUGAACCGGGGACAGGUAAUAAAACCAGAACUUUGUCACCAGGUUUAAAUGAGCGAAGCGCAGCUUUCUCAUCAAAGAGACGUUUCAUCCCUUUCUGUGCAGUAGCGAGAGACUUCUUAGCAAGAGAACAGGCAGACUUUUAACGGCCCCCUAACCGUAUGGCCAAAGACGAGCUCCGCUGGGCUGAAACCGAGACUUUCUUGGUUUGGUGAAACCGUUCCAGCGCGCCCUGACUUUCAGGGUGGUACGCACUGGAAACGUUGUGAGAAAUGCCAAGAGAUUUCAACACUUGGGAAAACAACUUUGACAGAAAGUUAGUACCUUGGUCGGUUUGUACAAUUUUCGGUAAGCCAAACGUAGAAAAGAAUUUUAUUAGAGCUUUUAUUACAACAGGCGCGGUAAUUUUGCGCAGGGGAAUUGCCUCGGGGAAACGGGUAGAGACACACAUCAUUGUCAGCAAAAAUUGGUUUCCCGAUUUCGUUUUAGGCAGCGGCCCCACACAAUCGACAAUGACGUGUUCGAAGGGUUCCCCAAUAGCAGGAAUGGGCGAGAGGGGAGCAGGUGGAAUCACCUGAUUUGGCUGCCCCACAUACUGACAGG